GCCCGAAUAGCUCAGUCGGUAGAGCAGAGGAUUGAAAAUCCUCGUGUCCCUGGUUCGAUUCCGGGUUCGGGCACCA
rnacentral:tRNA from 155 species